rnacentral:rRNA from 1 species
UACAGAGGGCUCAAGCGUUGUUCGGAUUCAUUGGGCGUAAAGGGUGCGUAGGCGGUCGCGCAAGUCGGAUGUGAAAUCUCAGGGCUCAACCCUGAAACUGCAUUCGAUACUGCGUGGCUAGAGUGCUGGAGAGGAGACUGGAAUUUACGGUGUAGCAGUGAAAUGCGUAGAUAUCGUAAGGAAGACCAGUGGCGAAGGCGAGUCUCUGGACAGCAACUGACGCUGAGAAGCGAAAGCAUGGGGAGCGAACAGG